rfam:TPA: Bos taurus chromosome 12, whole genome shotgun sequence.
UCCCUGCUGGCUCAGAUGGUAAAGCAUCUGCCUACAGUGUGGAAGACCCAGGUUCGAUCCAUGGGUUGGGAA